UGCGCCACUGAAAAGUUGUCG
rnacentral:piRNA from 1 species